rnacentral:rRNA from 1 species
CCUACGGGUGGCAGCAGUUAGGAAUAUUGGGCAAUGGAGGAAACUCUGACCCAGCAACGCCGCGUGAAGGAAGAAGGUUUUCGGAUUGUAAACUUCUGAUCUGUGGGACGAAGAAAGUGACGGUACUACCGGUGAACGACACGGCUAACUACGUGCCAGCAGCCGCGGUAAUACGUAGGUGGCGAGCGUUGUACGGAAUAACUGGGCGUAAAGGGAGCGUAGGUGGUUGUUUAAGUUAAAUGUGAAAGCCCAGGGCUCAACUUUGGAACUGCAUAUAUUACUGGUCGGCUAGAGUACAGGAGGGGUAAACGGAAUUUCUAGUGUAGCGGUGAAAUGCGUAGAUAUUAGGAGGAACACCAGUGGCGAAGGCGGCCUGCUGGGCGGUGACUGACGCUGAGGCUCGAAAGCGUGGGGAGCAAACAGGAUUAGAUACCCGAGUAGUC